GGUGGUCGUUGCUCCGUCAGUUGAAAACGUUUUGGAUUUCUGGUUGACUGUUUUCUCAGCUGCCCAUUUAGAGGAGGACAUGGAUCGCAGUCUUUGGAUACUUAGUACACACUUCAGGAGAAGUCCGAAGAAGGAACAUGACUCACCUGUAGGUGUAGAGGAAGUAAACUGAUCAUCUCAGCUGAUCCAGAAACAGACCCAGAGGUCGUGGCCUCUCAGUUCCAGCCCUUGUGAGAGGAGGUGGGGCGGUGGAACCUGUCGCACAGAAUAACAGGCUCGCCGGCUGAAGAGGUGCAGGCGUGCUCAUACUCCCAUCUACCAGACUAACAGGAACGACCGCCUCCAGCCGGCCGGCUGGGCCUGCCCAGCUGCCUGGGGGAGAUCCCAGGUGGCAAAUAUUCUCCUGCUGCGGAGAGUGAGCAUUCGAUCCCACCCAACGGAGGUCAGGAAAUCUGUCAAGUCAGUGUAGCCAGAUCUCAGGGGUUGUGGUGAGCGGUGAGGCGUGACUUUGUUGGGGCCGAACAUUUCUGGCACUCCAUUAACGGCAGAAUGGGAUGGUCCAGACGCGCUUUAAAGGUCCUCUGUGUCCUGUCCUCUCACUUCAAAACAAGCAUCGACUAACGGUCGCCUGCAGCUGUACAGCUUGCUUUCUCUCUUUCUCUCCUGCAGUAUCUGGCUGGUUUAUAAUGAUGCUGAAAGCCAGUGAAAGUUUCAAGGCUGCAGAAUGAUGUUCCCUCAUUUAUUAAUGGCAUUUCCAUAUCCCCACAACCUGUACAUGUCGGCGUUUCAAUGCAAACAUGUUAUGUUAGGAUGGAAACAUGAAGGAGCAGCAAGGCAACAAGCAGAGGAUGAAACAUCAGGCGGGAAGCAGGAGAGGAUAAACAAGACUCUGUUGGGCUGACUCUCUCUGAGUCAAACCUCUAACCCACACCAAGAAUGUUGGGAACAAAAUGACUCAGACUGCAGGAAGCCAUUUCAGGAAUUCAGUAGUUUUCUUGUGGACAUUUUAACACCCGUCCAACAUCAGUUCAUGACCUCACAAAUGUGUUUUAGAAGAAUGAUCAAAUAUUUCCAUGAAUACGCUCCUAAACCCUUUGGACAGCCUUCCCAGAAGACCUGAAGCUGUUACAGCUGCAAAGAGUUGACCAACAUCAUAUUGAACCCUAUGGAUUAAGAAUGGGAUGUCACUUAAGUUCAUAAGCGAGUCCAGGAAGGUGAGCGAAUACUUUUUGCAAAAUGGUGUAUUAAAGGAACCAUGCAUUUAGGCUCUCUAUGUCCAUAAUAUACACUAGUGAUCAAAUAUUUUAGAUACACUUUCUCACUUAAUGGGUCUCUUUUUAUUUUCAUGACUAUUUAAAUUAUAGAUUCUCACCAAGGCAACAAAACUGUGAACGAACACACAUGGAAUUAUAAAGCAGGGUUCUUGCCACUGCAAGUUGUCAAAGUUGUUCCCCGUAACAGGGUGAGAACCCUGUGUAGUAAACAAAUGGUAAAAUAACUCUAAACAUUUUUAUAUUUUAGAUUCUUCCAAAUAGCCACCCUUUGCUCUGAUUACUGCUUUGCUCUCUUGGCGUUCUCUCCAUGAGCUUCAUGAGGUGGUCACCUGAAAGAACUUCCCAGAGUUUCAAUGAGAGAUGGCCAAAAGUUAAUAUUUCAGUCAUCACAGCAAAGGGUAGCUACGUUACUCAUGUUUUCCUAAUAUUGUGCAGCACUAGUUAAAUCAUUGAGGUCUGCUCAUUUCGGGUGAGUAACUCCUUUAGUCAAACCAAUUUUAAUGUUAUGUUCUGAGGCAAAAAUAAACAAUCGUUCCCUUGUGGGACCCUUGUGUUUGGAAGAAACGAGGCAUGUUGCUGUGUUUUUUAAUGAAAUGUCUGAAUUAUACAAACGUUCUCUGACUUGGAAGUGAUUAUAAUUCAGUUUCACAGUGUAAAUGCUGUGAAAAGGUGGCAAGAUGGCUGGAUUUUUCACAGCUUUUUAAACUUCUCUAAAGUUCAUAUUUUCUUUUAAUUAAAGUAAGCCAUAAAAGAUUAGAAAAUGUGGGAAUCUGUUUUGAAGGUAGAGGAAUACUUCAGAUGUUUGCAAACCCCCACAAACAAUGGGUAAUGUUUGGAUUGUUACUUUCUUAAGCAUCUUUUUCAUGGUCGGUUCCAUGAGAUCAACAGAUUUACUUGACAAUCUGAUUAAAUGCAUUGUGUCUAAUAAACAGUGAGCUAAAGUAUCUUGAUAAUGGGCACUGCUGAGGUGUGCACUGAACAAAUACAGUGUUUUAAACCAGUACAGAUGCAAAAUGUCAAAUUGCCGAUUUCCACAUUACGCUGAGAAACCUUUGAAAGCAGCAUCAAAACAAGUUAGACCAGAGUUUGCUGACUCCCCACCAUCCAUAAAGUCUACUGUUUGGAAACACAAAAAUCAUCAGUGUCAAAUACAGUGACAAUGCAGAAAGAUUAGUGAACCAAACCAAAGCUUGAUGUCAGCAAAGUUUAAAUUCAAAUCCACCUGCCUAUAGAGCUUAAUUCCAAAUGCCAUAGAGGUCUUUACAGCAGGAGACAUGUGAUCAUACUCUUGUCAAAACCAUUUGCACUGCGUGUGGAGGAGUCUAUCCGUUAUGAGGGCAUUUCCCUGCAGGCUUUGCUGCUUGCAUGUUAACUGCACAGGACACCUUUUGAAAUGCUAUAACAUAAUUAAAAUUCUGAAGUAAUUUACACAUUUAAAUGUGCCCCAACUGCCAAAUACAGUAAAAAAAAAUAUACAUGUUUGUUUCUCUUUAUUUUAAUGUACUGAAAACAUAUCGAACUGUGACUUUAAAGCCACCAUUUCAUCACUUAAUACAAAUCUAGUACAGACAUAACCCAAAGGACCUGCAGCUGUAAACACAGCAAAACAUGGUUCUCUUGAACACAAACACAAAGUUUAAAAAAAAAAAAAAACUUUUUAAACCUGCAUGAUUUUUUUGGUCCAUUAGUUGGUCUAGUUGGUCUAUUAGCUCCUCAGUUUCAGUUUGUUCAACAGGCACCACAAACUGUGUUCCACCUUCACCUUCGCUGAUUUGGUGUACACUGAAAUGCAGUCAUAUGCAAUAAAUUUGAAUAUCAUUAAAAAUUCAUUAAUUUCAGUAACUGAAUUCUCUAAGUGAAACACAUUAUGUAGAUUAAUUCCAUGCAGACUGAUGUUUUCAAGCCUUUACUUCUGUUAAUGAUGAUGAUUUUCUGCAUGCAGCUAAAAAAAAACCACAAUAUUUAAGAUGCAAAUAUUACAGACCAAUAAAAAAUAAAAUUUUGGUACAGAAACAUAGGCUUAAUGAAGAAUAUGUUUAAUACCUGCAUAAUAACUUUUAUUUUCAAAGGGUGCUCUUAAUCUGACAAACGAGCCUCGUCUGAACCCAUAUUCUAAUUUAUUGAAUAUGACUGUACAUUUUCAGAUGAUCUCACCAUUGUCUUCAUCAUUAAAGAUUAGGCCCUUCCUAUUACGAAAUAAGAGGCAGAUUAGUCAACUUUGACCAAACAUUCUGGUCUCAGAUAUGUUUAAGAGCUGUUAAAAUGACUACUAAGCCCAGUUAACAAUUAAUACAAUAAACAGUCCUUCAUACAAUACACAACACAAUACACUACAACAGAUGUUCAGGAUGAGUUUUGCACUGUCUAAUACUUGCUUACAGUGCACAGACAACAUACAGUGGGAAGAAUGAGUAUUAGAUACAUUGCCAAUUUUGCAAGUUUUCCCACUUGCAAAGCACGUAGAAGUCUUUAAUUUUUAUCAUAAAAACUCUUCAACUGUGAGAACAGGAGGGGGUACAGGAAGGCUUCUUAAAGGAGAACUAACAGGCCUGUGAGAGCUGGAAUUCUUGUUGGUUUCUGAUCAAACACUUAUGUCAUUCAAUAAAAUGCAAAUAAUUUCUUUAAAAAGAAAAUCACACAAUGUGUUUUUGUUUUAGAAAGUAUGGAAAGACUUAUCAAAGUGUCUGAGAUGUAAUAUUUCACCUUCCCCCUCUGUUUGCUUGUUGGGCAACUUAGAUGAUGUCACCAUAAAGAAAAAUUCAGUUCACAUGGUUCUAACCAGUAUAAAAACCUUUUGUUGGACUACAUAAGUCUGAAGCUUUUGCCUCCACCUCGGAUCAAUCACUCUGAGCUCCUUUAAUUGGCACCGUCACCUAGUGGGGGUGGGGGACCUUUGGUUUCAUCCUGUGGGGCGUUGUUGCGGACUGGGUUUGGGGCAUCUGAGGUGUCCCUGGGUUGGGAUCACUUGGGGUCUGGCGCCAGAGGUCAUUGCCCACACUGGGGUGGAGGUUUCGAGGCUCUCGGGGGUGACAUCUGGUCGCUGCAUGCAAUGAUUUUGGGGGGCCUGUGCCGUCGGACAUUGGUUACUAGCCUGGUGGCCAUGCUGCUCCUGGAUAGGUCUGGGGUGGGCUCAGGGUUCCUGGGGCGUGUCCCCCUGGGUUGGGGUCCUAGGACUGUCGCCCCCAGGCUCGAGUCCUGGCUGGGUCUGGGGGGCUUCGGUCCUGGCGGGUAUGUCGUUGGGGUUUUGGGCUUGUUCAUGUGCUGGUGGCCGCCCUGACCUGGGGGCCUUCGAGGCAUUGGUGGGCUUAGGGGCCUCCUAAACUGGCGGAGAGGUACCAUAUCAUUGUAGGUGCACUCGCCUUCAAGGAGGGCAUUCUGCUGGUGGGGCAAAGGCUCUGUGGGAGGGGGGUGUGAUGCAAAGUCAACCUGGGUGUCUAAUGUCUUUUGUGUUCUGGGAGUUGUUAAAAUUCUUGGGGUGGCUGGCCUUGGGUGGGGAUAGGCAUCAUUUGCAUCUUGGCAGUCCGGUUCAGAGUCUGGUUCCUUGUCUUGGUUCCGGUUCCUGACGGUUCUCGGUUCAGAUUCUGUCUGAAGGAGGGGUCAGAGGGUUCUGCAUGGUUUGGGCGGACGGGCUGGCUGGGGUUGUUCUCAGGGUGGAGUGGUCUCGGCUUCUUGGUGAGUUUUGGUUUUGGCUCUGUGGACUCUCUGCCUUUUGUGGGCUUUGGUGUUCCAUCUGCCUGCUCCGUCACACUACCACUCAUGUAGGGAUUUGGAGUGUGGGUGCUUCAUUGGAGUACCUCAAGGGUUUUCCAUCUCCACGGUCCCAUGGCAGCCUGAGCCCCAAUUUUAAUGUCCCAUGGCAGCCUGAGCCCUACAUUUGACAUGCACAUAUAGGGCCCAUGCUCUCGGGGGGCCUGUAGAUGUCUGUGACUCAGAUCUCCUCCGUUUCUGUCUCGGGUCCACGGGGGCAGGUCCAUGGAUCUGCUGCAGUUCAAACCGUACAUCAGAAUGGGGAAGAAAGGUCAUUUAAGUGACUUUGAACAUGGCAUGGUUGUUGGUG